CAUGGCCAAAAGAGGGGUCCCUUCCCUUAGCUUCAGAAAUUCAUUUCUCCAUUUUCUUUUCUCUCUCAAGAACAGAAACCUUGCCCUAACUCAAGCUCUCACUUCUCUCUAGAUUUCCAGCAUAUUCCACCGUUAGAGUUGUGAUUUGAUUGCAUAUUAUUGCUCCUNGAGUCAAGGGCUACGAAACCAUCCGAUUGGUUUCUCGUUUCGUCAGGUUCUGUUCAUUUUCGAAAGUUGUAGGAGGGUACUGUAGAGCAUCUGUGAACUACGUUAAGCAUCCCACCAGAUGAGCAUGAGCCCACUUUGGAGGAUGUUUUGGAAGACCAAGACAACACUGAUGCUGCAUCUUAGUUUUUUUUUAGGAUUUAUAAUUUGUUGACCUUCUAGUUGAACAUAUGUAUCUAUUUUGAAAAACUCUAGAAUUUUUCCCAUGUGUUUUGNUUAUUUAAUUUCCUCUAGAUUUCGGGAUUACUGUAAUCAAAACCUGAUUAACUUUUCUACUCUUCAACUGCUCUCUUUUAUUAUCAA